rnacentral:rRNA from 1 species
UACGAAGGGGGCUAGCGUUGCUCGGAAUCACUGGGCGUAAAGCGCACGUAGGCGGAUCUUUAAGUCAGGGGUGAAAUCCUGGAGCUCAACUCCAGAACUGCCUUUGGUACUGGGGAUCUCGAGUCCGGGAGAGGUGAGUGGAACUGCGAGUGUAGAGGUGAAAUUCGUAGAUAUUCGCAAGAACACCAGUGGCGAAGGCGGCUCACUGGCCCGGUACUGACGCUGAGGUGCGAAAGCGUGGGGAGCAAACAGG